rnacentral:rRNA from 1 species
UGGGGGAAUUUUGGACAAUGGGGGAAACCCUGAUCCAGCCAUCCCGCGUGUGCGAUGAAGGCCUUCGGGUUGUAAAGCACUUUUGGCAGGAAAGAAACGUCGCGGGUUAAUACCCCGCGAAACUGACGGUACCUGCAGAAUAAGCACCGGCUAACUACGUGCCAGCAGCCGCGGUAAUACGUAGGGUGCAAGCGUUAAUCGGAAUUACUGGGCGUAAAGCGUGCGCAGGCGGUUCGGAAAGAAAGAUGUGAAAUCCCAGAGCUUAACCUUGGAACUGCAUUUUUAACUACCGGGCUAGAGUGUGUCAGAGGGAGGUGGAAUUCCGCGUGUAGCAGUGAAAUGCGUAGAUAUGCGGAGGAACACCGAUGGCGAAGGCAGCCUCCUGGGAUAACACUGACGCUCAUGCACGAAAGCGUGGGGAGCAAACAGGAUUAGAUACCCUGGUAGUCCACGCCCUAAACGAUGUCAACUAGCUGUUGGGGCCUUCGGGCCUUGGUAGCGCAGCUAACGCGUGAAGUUGACCGCCUGGGGAGUACGGUCGCAAGAUUAAAACUCAAAGGAGUUGAC